UAGGGAAUCUUCGGCAAUGGGGGCAACCCUGACCGAGCAACGCCGCGUGAGUGAAGAAGGUUUUCGGAUCGUAAAGCUCUGUUGUAAGAGAAGAACGUGUGUGAGAGUGGAAAGUUCACACAGUGACGGUAACUUACCAGAAAGGGACGGCUAACUACGUGCCAGCAGCCGCGGUAAUACGUAGGUCCCGAGCGUUGUCCGGAUUUAUUGGGCGUAAAGCUAGCGCAGGCGGUUUAAUAAGUCUGAAGUUAAAGGCAGUGGCUUAACCAUUGUUCGCUUUGGAAACUGUUAAACUUGAGUGCAGAAGGGGAGAGUGGAAUUCCAUGUGUAGCGGUGAAAUGCGUAGAUAUAUGGAGGAACACCGGUGGCGAAAGCGGCUCUCUGGUCUGUAACUGACGCUGAGGCUCGAAAGCGUGGGGAGCAAACAGG
rnacentral:rRNA from 1 species